CAUUUUCAUUACGGGGUGGAGUUACUAAAUAAGUAACCUUUUCUCAAAUGAAAUUGCUCAAGUAAAACAGGUUACCUUUGAAAAAACUCAAGUGUGCAAAAGAUGCCUGCUCCCGGGACGCCAGACUGAAGGUGUGAUAAGACUGCAAAUCCAGCCACAAAGAUGAGGUAUGAACUCACAACCAUCUGACCCUCAAACAGUCAAAAGCCACUGGGUGCACCUGAAAUGAAUAAAUAUAAGCAAUAACGUAACCUACAAUGCAGUAUUUCAAAAUAAAAUGUCAUCUAAAUUACAAGUUUAUCAAAUGAUUUAAAGAAUUAAUACAUUACCUAAUAUAAUCAGCUUCAGAGUCUUGAAGCAUCAAACAUUUCUCCACACCAGCUGCUAUUCUUCACACCUACAAGAAAUAAGAAUUAUCUUGAGAUGUCUUUAAGUGCAUUUACAUGAAUGAGACCAAAAUGAACACCCAAAAAGGCAUACAUUUUAAAAUAAACUUACAUUUUAUCAAUAAAUUAAAUUAUAAUACAUUGUAGCACUGUACCACCAAUCAAAUUAAAUAAUUUACAAUGCAAAAUUACAACUGUGUUAUGAGAUUAAUGUUUUACAUUAAUUUUUGAAAAUACAACUAAGAAAAGUUGGAAUGCAAUGAUGAAACAAAACCGCAAUUAGGUGGCAGCAAAUAACUUACUCAGCCGAUGAACAUUUAACCUCAUGUGUCUUUUGUGAGUUUAUGCGUGCCGUUAAGGUUGUUUUGAUGUCGAAUGUAAAGUUAAUAUAAUCAGAGUCUCACGUUUAGAUGCUUUCUUAGUUAUUAGUUUUUUUUCCUUCACUCAUAUUUUAAUCAGGCUAACUUGUCUAGUCGGGCAUGUAAUGAUGUCUUUCACUUAAAAAAUGGCUCGGACGAGCUUUAAUGUCGAGUACACAGGUGUGUGUGUGUGUGUGUGUGCAAUGAGCUGCUCCAGGUGUGUGUGUGUGUGGCUACGUGUUCUGUACUGGACUAACUGAGACU
ensembl:lncRNA